UGGAAGGCAGUUUAGCAGGCAGUACCACUAAAACAGUAGCCUCCACUGAUGGAAGAUGACACACAGGAGAUAAGGAAGAGGAGAGAAAGGAGCAGGUUGAGCAAGAGGUUAAUUUCCCCAGCAGGUUUGGCUGAAGAUAUUAAAAAAUAGUAUAAAUUGUUAUCAUUGCAGUCUGCUAGAACAUAACUGAACCUUGGCUCCGGUCUGACCUGAAGCCGUGUUCUCUGGAUGCUGGUUUCCUCUUAUGCACAGCUGGCUGUCAGAGUCAAGAGAGACUUUUGGGAGCAGCCUGGAAGUAGAAUUUACUUCGGAGAACAGAGAUUGAAGACAAAAAGGGCUUGGGAAAACAG